GUCAUUAGAAUUGUGCUAUGUUGAGUUCUAGCUGGGAAUUCAGCAGUAAGAACUAUGAGCAAACAUAACCAUGUAAAAACAAAAGAGUUACUAAAUGGGAUUUAAAUAAAGGGAAAUGUAAAACAAAUGUUGUAAAGAUAAAUACACUAAUAAAAAUAAACAUAAAAUAUUAGAUUGGCAUACAAUGACAAUGUCGAUAUAAAAACCAAGUAGCUAAUGAGAAAUUAGAUGUAAAGAUACAACAGGUCAAAGGGCAAAAAUCAAAUUAAAAUCUAUCAAACAAAAUAAAUGAUGAGCACAAACAAGGUCUACCCAUGAAUGACUAAAACUGAGUGCCACAAGUAAGGAAUGAAUCAUGAGAGGAUGCUGUUCAGGACAGGAAAUUAAUCAACAACAUACUAGCCCAAAGGUAGAUUUUGACUUCCAGUGGCAAAAGACCAUAUUGGGUUCCACUUCUGUCAGCCAAGAACAAGCCUGUGCCCAGAUAGGAUUGACACCUAAUGUUACCAUGUAGCUCAUCCACCUUCAAGGAGUGGAAGACUCAGAGGAGCUGUACAGAACAGAUGGUCCCAGUGCGACACUGGACCUCCGACAGGGGAAAAAUCAAUGCUCAUAACUUCAAAACAAAAAAGAAAUU